CGAGUGGCGAACGGGUGGAGUAACAACGUGGGCGAAACCCUGCCCUCAGCUUCGGGAUAACACUUGGAAACAGGUGCUAAUACCGGAUAAUAACUUGUCAUCGCAUGGUGGUGGGUUCAAAGUUUUUCGGCUGAGGAUGGGCCCGCGGCCUAUCAGCUUGUUGGUGGGGUAAUGGCCUACCAAGGCGACGACGGGUAGCCGGCCUGAGAGGGCGACCGGCCACACUGGGACUGAGACACGGCCCAG
rnacentral:rRNA from 1 species